rnacentral:rRNA from 1 species
CAGCGCCACAAGUGGGAACCAGAAUUAUUGGGCCUAAAGCGUCCGUAGCCGGUUUGAUAAAUCUUUUGUGAAAUUGUUGGGCUCAACUCAACAACGUGCAGAAGAGACUGUUGAACUUGGGACUAGAGAGGGGUUAGAAGUAUUUCUGGGGGAGCGGUAAAAUGUUAUAAUCCUAGAAAGACUACCUGUGGCGAAGGCGUCUAACCAGAAUAGAUCCGACGGUGAGGGACGAAAGCUAGGGGAGCGAUCCGGAUUAGAUACCCGCGUAGUCC